rnacentral:lncRNA from 1 species
ACCCACCUCAUCUUUGACAUGGAAGGACUUCUUCUGGAUGAUACUGAAUGGCUGUACUCAGUGGUGUUUGAAGAAAUAUGUGAUCACUAUGAUGAGAAAUACAGCUGGGAUAUAAAGUCCCUGGUUAUGGGUAAGAUUGCAUUAGAGGCAGCACAGAUACCCAUCUUGCAGCUCCCGAUGUCCAAAGAGGAGCUGAUGGAAGAAAACCAAAGGAAGUUAAGGGGAAGUGUUCCCCACAGCUGUGCUCACACCAGGUGCGAUUGCCUUGCUGUUUGCAGGAUGGUUUGGGAAAAGGCAUCCCCUUUGCGCUGGCCACCAGGUUGAAGUCUGCAUCGUUUGAGAUGAAGACAAGCCGCCACAAGGAGAUCUUCAGCUUGUUUUCCCAGACUGUGCUGGGAGAUGACCCCAAAGUGCAGCGUGGCAAGCCAGACCCCGACAUCUUCCUAGCUUGCGCCAAGAGGUUCUCUCCCACUCCUGCCGUGGAGAAGGUAAGAG